CGUAGGGUGCAAGCGUUAAUCGGAAUUACUGGGCGUAAAGCGUGCGCAGGCGGUUGUGCAAGACCGAUGUGAAAGCCCCGGGCUUAACCUGGGAUCGGCAUUGGUGACUGCACGGCUAGAGUGUGUCAGAGGGGGGUAGAAUUCCACGUGUAGCAGUGAAAUGCGUAGAGAUGUGGAGGAAUACCGAUGGCGAAGGCAGCCCCCUGGGAUGACACUGACGCUCAUGCACGAAAGCGUGGGGAGCAAGCAGGAUUAGAUACCCUGGUAGUCCACGCCCUAAACGAUGUCAACUAGUUGUCGGGUCUUAAUUGACUUGGUAACGCAGCUAACGCGUGAAGUUGACCGCCUGGGGAGUACGGUCGCAAGAUUA
rnacentral:rRNA from 1 species